rnacentral:rRNA from 1 species
UACAUGUGGGGCAAGCGUUGUUCGGAAUUACUGGGCAUAAAGGGUGCGUAGGCGGCUUGUUAAGUCAGGGGUGAAAGUUUUCGGCCCAACCGGAAAAUUGCCUUGAUACUGGCGAGCUUGAGUGCGUGAGGGGUAACCGGAACGAGUGGUGUAGCGGUGAAAUGCGUAGAGAUCGGCAGGAACACCCAGGGGGGAAACCAGCCGA